GGACGAGAUGCCAGCAGAGUCACCACCUUCCCAGUCACCCCAACAGGUUUUUGGUACAGACCAUCAAAGACCUGCUCUGCCAUCUGCAGUGGGAGGAUAUUUUGAUGGCAAGGAAGUGCAGGCUUGCCUGGGACCCACUGGUGAAUUCCGACCCCCACCACUCUGCAGUGGGUCUGCAUGUCAGGGAGAUGCGCCACCAGUUGACCCCCUCCCAUUCCCCACGGGCAAUCCACCUGCUUGGGAUGCUCAG